rnacentral:rRNA from 1 species
AGUGAACGCUGGCGGUAGGCCUAACACAUGCAAGUCGAACGGCAGCACAGUAAGAGCUUGCUCUUACGGGUGGCGGGUGGCGGACGGGUGAGGAAUACAUCGGAAUCUACUUUUUCGUGGGGGAUAACGUAGGGAAACUUACGCUAAUACCGCAUACGACCUACGGGUGAAAGCAUGGGAUCUUCGGACCUUGCGCGAUUGAAUGAGCCGAUGUCGGAUUAGCUGGUUGGCGGGGUAAAGGCCCACCAAGGCGACGAUCCGUAGCUGGUCUGAGAGGAUGGUCAGCCACACUGGAACUGAGACACGGUCCAGACUCCUACGGGAGGCAGCAGUGGGGAAUAUUGGACAAUGGGCGCAAGCCUGAUCCAGCCAUACCGCGUGGGUGAAGAAGGCCUUCGGGUUGUAAAGCCCUUUUGUUGGGAAAGAAAAGCAGCAGGUUAAUACCACGCUGUUCUGACGGUACCCAAAGAAUAAGCACCGGCUAACUUCGUG